AGAGACUGCACCAUCCCUGCUUAUACAGCACUGCAGCCAGAGCUCAUUCAUAACUGAUUGUCACCUAUGGGCUCUAGAUCUUUCACAGUCGCUGCUCUGUAGCCCCACAGCUAUUCAGAGGGACCUGCACUGCCCCUUCCUAGAUGAGUAAUGUGAGCACGUAUGGAUGUUUUCUGUUUGCAAAGCGCUCUUCUCAUCAGGCUACCCAUAUUCCUCUAUGACAUCUCUUCUCAUCUGUGAAUUUUAUCAGUUUUUGAUUCUGUCUGCAAAUUUUGCACCUGCUGGGAUGAUAGCAGACAUGGCUCUUUGUUUGCAGUGUAUCUUCAAUGCUUGCUGCUUUGGCAAGUUACCACCCAUCACUGAAACUCUUCACCGGACUCUCAUGUAGUAAGGAGAACCACUGGUCCCACAUAUUUCAUAUGUACUGUGUUUAUGUGUCCUAUCUGGUGCCAGCUCCUAAAGGUAUGGCUACCAAAACAUAAAGAAAAUCUCUUUCUGAAUAAGCAAAACUGGGGAAAAGCUCUUCUGCCUGCAGGACUGAGGAAGCUCUUAGGUAUUUAUAAGGAAUUGAUCAGAUGAAACUUGAAGUGAAAGGGCACCUUAGGCAGACUUUGGCCUCCAAGAAUAGAUAGUUGUUGCCAAAAAAGCCCGCACACUGUGACCACCACAUCCCAGCAGAAGAAUUUGCUGGGGAAGGGGCACACUAGAUUCUGCAACUGGAUGGCUCCCAUCAGCUGGGAAGAAAGUAGGCGGGAGCCAAGGCUGGGGCACUGCCCCCUCCCCAGCAGCCGUGGUUACUGUCAGUAGCUACCUUGAAGCUGAUACUUACAGACAACAGGAGAAAAUAGGGACAAAGCUGAACCCCUCAACCUAGGUGUCUGAAAGUGUUUAUCUGUAUGAUGGAGCCUGGCACAACAGUCUUUGGAGCAACUGAAAUUCUGGGUAUGUCUUCAACCACGAAGUGUAUGCCAUAGACACCCCAGCGGCAAUGUGUUAUGUUGUCUGAAGGUUUAGGUUUCAGAAGUGCUUUUCCCGGCUAUUGAGCUCAAGCUGCUGUCAUCUGACCCUGCAUCCAGGCUGUAGUGAAGAAACCUUCUGUAGUGAAGAACAGCUCCUUGUUAUGGUCAUACUUUUAACCUCCUUCCUUGCACUCAGAUCCAUCCCAGGCCCAGCGCCAUAGGGAACUUCCUGGUAUGGCACACGCAUCCAGACCGCCAUGUUGAGCAGCCGCCUCGGAGCCCAGUCUGCACAAACAGCCUCCUGAACUCCUCCUGGCUCUGUGACGACAAGCUCCACAGCCUCGUUAUAAAGCAGGGAAGGUACUUCGCUUUGAAAUGUGCUGCCUGACGCACUACAGAAGUUUUCUUUACAUUAAGCUGUCCCUUAAAACAGUAAAAAUGAACUAAUGAGAGGUCUGCUGUGGUAGCCAGCUAUAGAUUUAUCUCCAAGUGCAUUAAUGCUACCAUUUGAUUUGCAGGUGUAAAUUGAAUAUUUAUGUGGCACUGCUGUUCUUAUUCCCCUAAGCCCUCUACAGCGUAUGAAUGAGCUGCUGUAUUUGAGCUGCAGUGUGUGCAAUCAGAGGCUUCUGGUUCCUUUGGGAAUUCAGUUAUAGCAUGAAAUUAAUCUUUUUCAGCUACUCUGGUUGAGCAGGUGAAAAGUGAAAAUAAUUAUCAAAGUACUGUGGCCUCCAGUAAUUGUGUGAAACCUCUGAAUAUGCCUGCACUGCAGCUUGCUAACAUAGUUUGCAACUGUCUCAAAUGGCACAGUGCUUAAAAUAGAUAACAGCGCUGUUUUAUUCUUGAAAUGCUGGAACGCUGCAAAAACCACGUAGUCACUCACACGGCUUUGAAAAGCCACUCAUUUUCAGCACAAGCAUUGAGUGAAUUGCUUAUUCAACUUACUCGGUGCUCUUCUGACGUGCCCCA
ensembl:lncRNA